rnacentral:lncRNA from 1 species
UCCUGCGAACAAUAGUAAAUGUCAACAGAUUCCGCGCGGCGAGUGUCUGACUCGGCCGAGAUAAGGGUGCGCGGUUGGCCCCGCGCUCCUCGUCGCCGCGGGGGGAGCCCACCCUGACCCCGGCUGGAAGGAACCGGCUGUGACUAAACCCGUGCCGGGAGAGGGGGGCGGGAGGGCAGGGCACCAGUCCCAGCUCGGUGGGGCAGCCUCGCCAGGAGACCAGGCCCUGCCCCGCCCCCACCCCACUUAACCCGUUGCCGAUGGGGGAACCUAUGGGCACCGUAAAAGCCGCGGGGUCGACGUGGCGGUCGGGCCUGCUUUUGGCCCACAGCUGCAAUCUCCAGAGGAUAUCGGCAAAACGCUGAUCCACGUGAGGACUCGCAGUUUUCGACCUACUGGGAGCCAGCACCUGAAGCAAAGGAUUCGAGUCCUGAUGUCCGGAGACUCAUUAAAAUAUUUUCCUAAGCGCGCACACACUCGCAGGUCCUCCUCCUUGGUCGUCGGUAACCCACCACCCAACCGAAUUAAAAUUCGCAAAUUGAUUCCCACGCGUUGGUAUUAAUGGGUUGUUCCUCUUAAAUUGUUGCCAACUUUGCUAAUGGAUUAUUAUUUAAAUGAUUUCUU